rnacentral:rRNA from 1 species
GCGACGGCGUGGGGGGGGCGGGGGGUGUAGGGGGGUGGGAAGCGUUGUUGGGAAGUACUGGGCGUAAAGGGCUCGGGGGCGGCCAACUAAGUCUGAUGGGAAAGCCCCAGGCUCAACCGGGGAACGGCAUCCGAUACUGGUUGGCUUGAAUCCGGGAGAGGGAUGCGGAAUUCCAGGUGUAGCGGUGAAAUGCGUAGAUAUCUGGAGGAACACCGGUGGCGAAGGCGGCAUCCUGGACCGGCAUUGACGCUGAGUGAGCGAAAGCCAGGGGAGCAAACGGGAUUAGAUACCCUGGUAGUC